GCUUCCUGCCAUGAUGAUAAUGGACUAAACCUCCAAAACACCCUGGCUGGUUUGGAACCCACUGCAUGGACCAGACUGCCUCCCAAGUGCAGAAAUCAUAGGCAUAUGACACCAUGUCUAGCUACUAACUAUUCUUGAGGUCCUGCUCUCUGCCAGGCAAUGUAUUAGACCUUGGACAGACACCUGUGAGAAGAUGGUCAGGGCCUGACGGUCAUGGAUACUACAUUUUAAACAGUGAGAAGUACUGUCAGCUUUUCUUGUGUGCUGUAUGACUAUGACUCAUUUCCAUGCUGCUUAAUCUGCCUGUUUUAGGGCCUAGGGUUCAUGGAUUCAUGCUGUCAUUUCAUGUGGUUGAUGAGAGGUGUCCAUAAGAAGCCAGAUAAAGUUCUCUGGCUUGCCUCCUUUUCAUACUCCUGACUUGCCUUUUGUAGUGGCAUUGCUUUACUAUUGUGUUUAACACUCUGACUUGAGUGUGUGUAGCUCCGACAGUUGGUGAGCUUGCUUAAAUAAUGGAUGUCAGAGAGACUAAAUGAAAACAUUCAAAAAGCUCUUCCCAAUUGGUAAAGGUCUUGGCAAGUAUCCAGUGGUGCUGGUAUAAUAGAGCAAGUUGGAUCCAUGUUUUUGCUAACUGUGGAUUGGGUUGGGCUCUUGCCUGUUCUACCAGCUGGUCAGGUGACAGUUCCAUGUUUUCAGUGUGCUGCUCUUUGCUGAAGCUGUACAUUGUUAAUCAUCUGUGCUACUACAGGAACAGAAUCUGCUGAUACAAUUCAGGCUUAUGCUAAUAAUUUACAUUUCCCUAUGUAAAUAACUUCUCCAGAUUUAAAAAAUAACCUGUAAUUCUUAGAUAUUAUUAGGUUUAUUUUUGUUAUUUUUUUUUGCAUUUUCAGUUGAAUUUCAGCUAUAUUGUAGGAUUGAGUAUUACAAUUUUUAAAAAUACUUUUUAGUAAAUGUAUAUUCUCAGAUGUAAAGACUGGUAUACUUCUAACAUUCAUAUGUUCUCUAUUAUAUACUUAGGAUAAUACAUAAUAUUUUAAAUUUAGCAUGGUACCUGUCUCUAGUCACUGAAGGUUUAGAAUUUGAUUUUUUAUAAAUAAUAUUUUGAUACAUGAACAUAUUAGUUAAACUUUUAAGUAUCCUCCUGUAUAUAUGUUAUGUAUAGCAUUUCUAUAUUAAUAAUACAUAGUAAAACACAACAUUGAAAGUUGUCUGUUUGCUAGUUACAGUUCUGUCCUAGACAGCCCCUGUCUGUUGGGUGUCCUUCCUUCUUGACUAUUCAGGACAUUGCCCACUCCCCUACUCACAUCACCUGUUUUUCCUCUGUUGGAUCUUUUCCACUGGCUACUGUUUUCCUAUUUAAAGAAGCCCCAGGUUCUACUUUUUAGACUUCUUUACUCUCGUGUUUCCAUGUCCACCUAGAAUCCCACCACUCUUGAUUGACGUGCUCCUGACACUUCCCCUGUUUUAGACUUCUUUACUCUCGUGUUUCCAUGUCCACCUAGAAUCCCACCACUCUUGAUUGACGUGCUCCUGACACUUCCCCUGGUGAGCACCUGGGAUCUGACUUCAUUGGUGGCUCUUCAGCAGGGUUUGACAAACCUGGUCCUGCCAUUUUCCUUGAGGCUGUCUUCAUCUUGGUUCCAGGGCAUCUGUUUCUGGUCUCAUAUUGCCUUCACUGGCCACUCAUUUUCAAUAUUCUAUCCGUGGGGCACUUCUUUAUCUUUUCCAUCCUCACUGUGAGUCUUUUCUACAUCAAGUCUUUAAAUGUCUUACUUAUAAUGUCUCUAGUUCAUUUCAAGUCACAGAAGAGAAAUAGCAAUGACCAUGCAUUGAUUAUUUCUGAAGUUGCUUGAUGAGUUUUAUUUUACUGCUUUCUCUAUAAUUUUAUUUAUGUUAUACAUUUUCCCUAAUGAAAAGUUCAAGUCUGUGUGAUGAUGCUUCCCAUUUUUUUUUCUUUAAUCCAGGCUUUCUCCUGAGUUGUAGACCUGUAUAUGGGUCUGCUGGUUUAACAUCUCAGUACUGAUAUUAAUAGAUAUUUACACUGAACAUGUCCCAAACUGAACUAACUUUUCUAUUUAUUUUUUUCAUCACAAUGAUGAGAAUGCUAUCCUUUCAGGUGCUUAUUAGAACACUAAAUGUUGUAUUUCAUUUUUCUCAUUUUUGUGGUCCUCUACCCCCACCAUGUGCAAAUCUGUAAAGUACCCCCACAUCUGACCGGUCAGAACUGCUUCCCCUGCUGGCACCUUGGCCAGUUGCAGUGAUCUCUACUUCUCUGUCCCUCAUAGGCUAGAGUCCUUACAGCAACUAGAAUCUUCCUGUGAAGCAGAAGUCUUGUUAUGCUCUGUUGUACUGAAACCCCAGUGGUGGCUUUCCAUCUCACUCAGUAAAUACUGUGGUUCUCAGUGAGGCCCCCAGAACAGUGUAGCUUGUAUCAUUACUAUAAAAUAGAGACACAAUGUAAGAAACAUUGGAGAAUCACACAGGUAGUUUUAAAAUAUCUGGCAAAGGGAAUGAAGCUGUUGAAAUUAAUUGUAGUCCUGUAUUUUAUUUAAGCUUGUAUGUCAGAAGUGUUUUUAUUUCUGAAGUGGGUUACAUUGUCCUUGUUUAGUUCACUGUUUGUGCUGAGUCAUAGUACAUCUCCAGUUGUAGCUAGUGACUGCCAUGUGGUACAACACAGGUCUGUAGGACCCAGCUCCUGUACUACUGCAUCUCCGUCCUCUCAAGUUCUUUUUUUCUUUAACUACACUUUGUGCCAUCAUCAUUGGCCUCCUUCAUGUUCCUCAAGCACUGUGUUAGGGGCCUUUUUAUCUCUAGUUCUCUCUGUUUGGAAUCUUCUUCCAACUCAGCCUAUGUUUUUCUCUUAUUUCCUGUGUCUUACCUUCUCAGGGGCCUCCGCAGCCCUCACAAUUCUCUAGUAUUCUCUGUAACCCUUCACACAGUGCUUUUUCUCUAUCACCAUUUAAUAUAAUAAAUAUUUCUGUGCUGGUUUGAGUAAGAACAUCCAUAGGCUCAUAUAUUUGAAUGCUUAGUCAUCAGGGAGUAGCAGACUUGGGAGGGAUUGGAAGGUGUUGUUAUGUUGGAAUAGGUGUGGUCUUGUUGGAGGAAGUGUAUCAAUGGGGUGGGUUUUGGAGUUUCCCAAAGACCAAGCCGAGCCCAGUGUUUCUUCAUGACAAUGCUCUGGUCAUUGUGUCUCUUCACAGCAACUGAAUACUGACUAUGACAAUUUCCAUUAGUAUCUUUUCUCUUUCUGUUCACUGGAACAGGAGUUAUAUGAUUAGUGAUUUUUGUCAGUUUUGUCCCUUGCUUUGUUUCAGAGCAGAGACAGAGCCUUUCAUGUAGGAGAUAGACAUUUGUUGAAUAAUUAAAUGGAAUUAGUGACUAAGAAUGCUUACUAGUAAGAAUAGCACAAAUGAGUAUACUGUAUUGCUUUGGAAUAUGUUGGUGUCAUCUAGUAGUUUAAAGUUCUGGUUCAAGUGAGUAUAUAUUUUUCUUAAUAGAGACUUCACAAAUAUGUAUAUGUUAAGGAAGUUCUAGAUUCUAUGUAAUAAAUAUCAGUUUCUGAAACUCAGCUAAUAUAUUAGUUUUAAUAUUUCUAGAUAUCAAUAGUUACAAACUCAUUGGAAGAGUUUGUAUAUUUUUAUGUUUUAAUAGCUGGAUUCAAGACCAUUCAUUUGGGGAAAUUUUGAAACUAGGUAUUUCUAGUUAAGUUUAUGUAGAUAGAUUUUAGACAUGUCCUUAAUUGAAAUUGGCAAUGUCAUGACAUAAGGUGGCAAUUAUUUCUAAGAGCUUGUUUUCAAAAUGUUUUUUUUUUUUUGAGGAAUUAUGGCUUUUGCUCAUUUUUAAAAAUUCAACUCAUUUGAAAGGGACAGAUUUAGUAUUUGCUUCUUUAAAGAUAUUCCUAAACAUUCUGUUGACAGGCAUUCACCAUAGAAGAGGUCAGCAAAUUUUCAAACUCUCCUAGCUAAAAAAAAGUAUAAUUCUUCUGUAAGUUGAGCUACUUUUUCCAUAUUUUGUGAGUCAGUCAGGAACUGCAUAGUAGUUUGGCUUCAGUCAUCCACUGUGUUAAAGAGUGUGUCUGUAAGUAAGUUUGCACGUCUAACAUGCCACUGCCCCUCUUCUGCCUUGGGAUCCUACAUAGGAGGCCUCUUGUACAUUAGGUGACAGUUGCCACACAAAUUUAAGCAUUGUGCCUGUGUCCAUAAACAUGCUAAAUAAUAGUUUGGUUUGACUUAUUAUUUUCAGCAAAAAAUAAAGGAUACUAACAUUUUCAUCUUCAUCCUAAGGUCCCUCCUUAGACAUACUCACUCAGAGGUUCUUGACCACAUUACUUCUGCUAACCUCGUCUUUGUUGUUCCUCAUAUUUAAAGGCCUGAGUUUCACCAAUACUUACUGCUUGAUGGGCUGGAGGAUAAGUCCAUCCUAUGACCCAGGACUAUAAAGCUGUGUUUCAUAGAAUCUGCCAGAACAGAUUUAUUUGGUAGCUGCUGAAGACAGCUAGUUUCAUAAUGUGACCAUUCUAGUCAUGACCAUGCUGUGAUUUAGGGGGCUAACACUGCUCUGGAACAACAUUCUGAAAGAGGUAGCCAUGGUAGCUUGAGUAGCCAGCUUACUCCUUUAAAGCACAUAUACAUGAAUGUAUAUAGCUGCAUACUUACACACAGACAUAAUUGCACAUAUUUUGGGGACUGCUGGUAUUCCAGUACAUCUGUAUAGUGUGUGAUGGUCAAAUCAG